GCCGGAGUUUCCUCAUGACUACUGCAGCUCUAAGCUCCCUGAGUCACUGCAUGAAGGGUGGAAGAGUCCCUGAUUCUGAAUCGCUCAGCUAUGAAAAGUGUGUUUCUGGGUACCUGAAAGAAGCCUGACUACUUUAUGCUCUGGUCAAGCUACCACAGGACUUAUUUCUCCCUCGAUACAAACACCUCAAGGAGAGGAUAAGCACCAUAUUUCAUUAAGUAAUCUUUAAAUGCUAUGCGUUCUUUCAUGCUGCAUGGUGCAGAGAGAAGUAGAAAAGGAGGAAAAAU